rnacentral:tRNA from 1 species
GCGGGAAUAGCUCAGUGGAAGAGCAUCAGCCUUCCAAGCUGAGGGUCGCGGGUUCGAAUCCCGUUUCCCGCU